AGGUUAAGUUAAUAAGGGCGCACGGUGGAUGCCUUGGCACUAGAAGCCGAUGAAGGACGUGACUAACGACGAAAUGCUUUGGGGAGUUGUAAGUAAACAUUGAUCCAGAGAUGUCCGAAUGGGGGAACCCGGCAUGUAAUGCAUGUCACUCAUUACUGUUAAGGUAAUGAAGAGGAAGACGCAGUGAACUGAAACAUCUAAGUAGCUGCAGGAAGAGAAAGCAAAUGCGAUUGCCUUAGUAGCGGCGAGCGAAAUGGCAAGAGGGCAACCGAUGUGUUUACACAUCGGGGUUGUAGGACUGCGACGUGGGACGACAAGAUUAUAGAAGAAUUACCUGGGAAGGUAAGCCAAAGAGAGUAACAGCCUCGUAUUCGAAAUAGUCUUUAACUCUAGCAGUAUCCUGAGUACGGCGAGACACGAGAAAUCUCGUCGGAAUCUGGGAGGACCAUCUCCUAACCCUAAAUACUCUCUAGUGACCGAUAGUGAACCAGUACCGUGAGGGAAAGGUGAAAAGCACCCCGGGAGGGGAGUGAAAUAGAACCUGAAACCGUGUGCCUACAACAAGUUCGAGCCCGUUAAUGGGUGAGAGCGUGCCUUUUGUAGAAUGAACCGGCGAGUUACGAUAUGAUGCGAGGUUAAGUUGAAGAGACGGAGCCGUAGGGAAACCGAGUCUUAAUAGGGCGCAUUAGUAUCAUGUCGUAGACCCGAAACCAUGUGACCUACCCAUGAGCAGGGUGAAGGUGAGGUAAAACUCACUGGAGGCCCGAACCAGGGCACGUUGAAAAGUGCUUGGAUGACUUGUGGGUAGCGGAGAAAUUCCAAACGAACUUGGAGAUAGCUGGUUCUCUCCGAAAUAGCUUUAGGGCUAGCGUCGAUGUUAAGUCUCUUGGAGGUAGAGCACUGUUUGAUUGAGGGGUCCAUCCCGGAUUACCAAUAUCAGAUAAACUCCGAAUGCCAAUGAGAUAUAAUCGGCAGUCAGACUGCGAGUGCUAAGAUCCGUAGUCGAAAGGGAAACAGCCCAGACCACCAGCUAAGGUCCCAAAAUAUAUGUUAAGUGGAAAAGGAUGUGGGGUUGCACAGACAACUAGGAUGUUAGCUUAGAAGCAGCUAUUCAUUCAAAGAGUGCGUAAUAGCUCACUAGUCGAGUGACCCUGCGCCGAAAAUGUACCGGGGCUAAACAUAUUACCGAAGCUGUGGAUACCUUUUAGGUAUGGUAGGAGAGCGUUCUAUGUGUGAAGAAGGUGUACCGUGAGGAGCGCUGGAACGCAUAGAAGUGAGAAUGCCGGUAUGAGUAGCGAAAGACAGGUGAGAAUCCUGUCCACCGUAUGACUAAGGUUUCCAGGGGGAAGGCUCGUCCUCCCUGGGUUAGUCGGGACCUAAGGAGAGACCGAAAGGUGUAUCCGAUGGACAACAGGUUGAUAUUCCUGUACUAGAGUAUAUAGUGAUGGAGGGACGCAGUAGGCUAACUAAAGCGUGCGAUUGGAAGUGCACGUCUAAGCAGUGAGGUGUGAUAUGAGUCAAAUGCUUAUAUCUCUAACAUUGAGCUGUGAUGGGGAGCGAAGUUAAGUAGCGAAGUUAGUGAUGUCACACUGCCAAGAAAAGCUCUAGCGUUAAUUAUACUCUACCCGUACCGCAAACCGACACAGGUAGUCGAGGCGAGUAGCCUCAGGUGAGCGAGAGAACUCUCGUUAAGGAACUCGGCAAAAUGGCCCCGUAACUUCGGGAGAAGGGGCGCUGGCUUUAAGUCAGCCGCCAGUGAAUAGGCCCAAGCAACUGUUUAUCAAAAAACACAGCUCUCUGCUAAAUCGUAAGAUGAUGUAUAGGGGGUGACGCCUGCCCGGUGCUGGAAGGUUAAGAGGAGCGCUUAGCAUUAGCGAAGGUGUGAAUUGAAGCCCCAGUAAACGGCGGCCGUAACUAUAACGGUCCUAAGGUAGCGAAAUUCCUUGUCGGGUAAGUUCCGACCCGCACGAAAGGCGUAAUGAUUUGGGCACUGUCUCAACGAGAGACUCGGUGAAAUUUUAGUACCUGUGAAGAUGCAGGUUACCCGCGACAGGACGGAAAGACCCCAUGGAGCUUUACUGCAGUUUGAUAUUGAGUAUCUGUACCACAUGUACAGGAUAGGUAGGAGCCUAUGAAAUCGGGACGCUAGUUUCGGUGGAGGCGUUGUUGGGAUACUACCCUUGUGUUAUGGCUACUCUAACCUAGAUAGGCUAUCCCUAUCGGAGACAGUGUCUGACAGGCAGUUUGACUGGGGCGGUCGCCUCCUAAAAGGUAACGGAGGCGCCC
rnacentral:rRNA from 1 species